UUCACCAUAACCCAAGACACAGUAAGACAGCGUGGGCUAGCAACUCCGAGUUUCCCGAGGAAGCCAGAGAGUCCUAGAUCUAUAUAUAAAUCUAAAUGAUCUAGCAAUACGUGUUCUUUGUGAUCUCUCAUCUCGUCUAAAUUUUUCCAGCUUAAAGAAUCCCAACUCACUGCAGCAGAAAGGAUGGCCGAUGAUACAGACUUUAGCCUUGACGCUGCAGUUUCCAUGGACUCUCCAGCUUUGGAAUUUACCAAGUUUUGGCGGCCAUUUUCUGGCUAAUUUUACUUCUUAAACCAGAGUCGGCUGUUAGUGGAGUGGAAGUUUUAGUGAAGUUCCCGAACGAAAACGUGCCUCAACGGAGAACGGUGCCAGUAGAAACUGGACCAGACGCAAAUGGUGACAAUGGUGGUUUGCCUCUUACUGUCGCACAGGUAAAACGUCAACUGUUUGCUGAAAACAGAAUCCCAGGAAACCCCGAUGCUCUAACAAUGAUAAUCAAAAACAACACAGGAGAAACGGAACUAAAUAAUAGUGAUAUAUUCGAAGACUAUAUUGAACAUAUAGCGACAGAGGCAGUGAUAAGAUUUGCUUAAUGUUCAACCUAUCCCCAACCCAGCCUUUGAAUACGACUCUCAAGACCCAUCUUCGUACACCUGAGAUGCAUUUCACCGUUCAGCAAGUUCGUUGAUUAUGAAAAUAGUUUUGUCUUCAAAUACGAUCAACCACCUAAGUUGCCUUCAGACACGAUCAAACAUUUUUUUUACACUCUCAGGUAUAAUUCCUACUGUUUGAUAUUAAUAAUAUUUUCCUACAAUUUUUUAUAUAACAAAUGUCAGUUUCCAUUACAAUUUUUGAAGAAAUUGCACUUGUUUUCUUAUUACAGUCUGAACAGAAAAAUUGGCCACCAAAAAAGCUUGGUCUCUGUGAGGAAAACGGUCUGGUAGGGAAAGAGUUGUAGCAGCAGCAGGGAAUUCAUUUAUGUUAUGUGUCUCGAUGUGGUGGAAUCAGGUGCUCGUCUAUUUUUUUUCAAAUUGAGUUAUUUGGUACACUCUUAAAGUUACAGCAUGUUCAUUUUCCCCUCUCCUGAUGAAAAAUAUUACCCGUCUAUCUUGAAAACGAUUUAAGAUAUUUAAUUUGUGAGUGAAAUAGGUGGGGGUCUCUUGGUAUUAGAGGUAAAAUUAGUAAGAAAAUAGCUGGGAACAGUAAAUUUACAUUUUUUGCCUCUCAUUAACGUUGUUCCGUAAAACUCCAAGCAGGAAUGAGAUUUUAUACGGAUAUAAAGGAUUUUGAGCCCAAAACAACAAGAAAAAAAAAUUAAAUUGCCUACCUGGCGGAAAAUGUCAAUUUCUGCAAUUUUAUUAUUUUGACGAGGGCCUGGUUUCACUAUGACGCCACAUCAUCCCUGGGUUGUGGCUGCUGUUGUUGUUGCUGCUGCUGCUAUUUGUUGUUGCUGUUGUUGUUAAGUAGGGUUAGAUAGUGCAAUUCCACCCACUUGAAAAUUCCACACCCUUUUCAAUGCAAGGGAUGUAACCCCAAUAAUAUAAUUUGAUGCAGAACUCUUUUGUUUUCUGAACCAAAGAGAAGGGAGUUUCCUUUAUACGGGGUGCCCACUACGGCUGGAUUCGGCCGAUCGCCCGACUCGACUUUGCGCUAUCAAGGUUUUACUAUGUCAAUAUUGCUUUGUAUGAUGUUCGUCAGUGUUUCUGUGUUUGCCAUUUAAUAGUACUGCGGUGUCAGUUGCUUGUGAUGCCAUUACCAGUCUUUAGAAAAAUAGGCUGACUCUCACGCUUUGUUUUUUAUGAGCUUAAUGAUUUUGAUUUAGGACUUAGCGUAAACGAAACAGACCGCCCUGAGCACGCCCAAGAGAAACCAAUUUUGUUUAUAAUUUUCUCUUUCCUUUUUUGUCAGUUUUAGUAAAAAUAUAUGACUGCGGU
rnacentral:misc_RNA from 1 species